rnacentral:rRNA from 1 species
AAUCUGCCUUCGGGUUUGGGACAACUCCGGGAAACUGGAGCUAAUACCAAAUAAGACCACGAGGUCCUUGGGCUUCGCGGAAAAAGAUGGCCUCUUCUUGAAAGCUAUCGCCUGUAGAUGAGCCCGCGUCCCAUUAGCUUGUUGGUGAGGUAACGGCUCACCAAGGCAUCGAUGGGUAGCUGGUCUGAGAGGAUGAUCAGCCACACUGGAACUGAGACACGGUCCAG